UGCAAACACAUCCCAGCGCUGCCAAGCCCCAAUUAAUAGCCUGUGAAUCACGGUGCCGUUGGAAGAGCAGAUGUUUGUGGCACGGUUGCCAGCGCUCGGUGUUCCGCCGAGGGUCUGUUUGGCCUUAAACCGGCAGCUUCGGGCGGCAGGUGGUGGCCGGAGCCUCGCUGCCUGCCUGGCCCUCUCCCGCGGCGGGGCCGGGAGCCGUUUGGGCUGGGAAUUAGCUGAAGUUUUUGGUGGGCAGAGCGGAGCGGGAGAACAGCCUGUCUGUGGGCGUGUGGGGGUGCCGCUUCGGAGCCGGAGGACUGCGAAAGCUGCAGAGCCUGCUGCCCCCGGGACACCCAGUGUGGAGGAGCUGCCGCCGGCCGGGGCCAUGAGGACAGCAUCCCCCUGAGCGCCGGGCGAUGAGCCCGCAGGGACAACCCUGCAAGAUGCCGAGGCU
rnacentral:lncRNA from 1 species